rnacentral:rRNA from 1 species
UUACUGUAGGAGCCUCGCGGCUCCUGCUGAGAUUGCACCCAUUGUCUUUGGCGCACCGUACGUUUCCUCGGCAGGCCCGCCUGCCAACGGGGACCCCAAACAAAACCUUUUGUAGUAGUAAUAAACGUCUAAAACACAAAUAAUCAAAACUUUCAACAACGGAUCUCUUGGUUCUGGCAUCGAUGAAGAACGCAGCGAAAUGCGAUAAGUAGUGUGAAUUGCAGAAUUCAGUGAAUCAUCGAAUCUUUGAACGCACAUUGCGCCCUUUGGUAUUCCUUAGGGCAUGCCUGUUCGAGCGUCAUCUAACCCCUCAAGCAUCGCUUGGUGUUGGGCGCUUGUCCCGCCUCCGCGCGCGGACUCGCCUCGAAAACAUUGGCGGCCUGUGUAUUGGCUUCGAGCGCAGCACAUUUGCGUCUCGACCCCUCUCGCGCAGGCGUCCACGAAGUGACCCCCCCAAGUUUGACCUCGGAUCAGGUAGGGAUACCCGCUGAACUUAAGCAUAUCAAUAAGCGGAGGAAAAGAAACCAACAGGGAUUGCCUCAGUAACGGCGAGUGAAGCGGCAACAGCUCAAAUUUGAAAUCUGGCUCCCUUGGGCGCCCGAGUUGUAAUUUGCAGAGGGUGCUUUGGCGUUGGCCACGGCCUAAGUUCCUUGGAACAGGGCGUCGCAGAGGGUGAGAACCCCGUACGUGGCCGCUGGCCUUCGCCGUGUAAAGCCCCUUCGACGAGUCGAGUUGUUUGGGAAUGCAGCUCUAAAUGGGAGGUAAAUUCCUUCUAAAGCUAAAUACUGGCCAGAGACCGAUAGCGCACAAGUAGAGUGAUCGAAAGAUGAAAAGCACUUUGGAAAGAGAGUCAAAAAGCACGUGAAAUUGUUGAAAGGGAAGCGCUUGCAGCCAGACUCGCUCGCGGUCGUUCUUCUUCCGCGAGCGGGCCAGCAUCAGUCUGGACGGUCGGAUAAAGGCCUUGGGAAUGUAGCUCUCUUCGGGGAGUGUUAUAGCCCAGGGCGUCAUGCGGCCAGUUCGGACUGAGGUCCGCGC